rnacentral:rRNA from 1 species
CCUACGGGAGGCUGCAGUGGGGAAUAUUGGACAAUGGGGGGAACCCUGAUCCAGCCAUGCCGCGUGUGUGAAGAAGGCCCUCGGGUUGUAAAGCACUUUCAGUGAGGAAGAACGCCUGGUGGUUAAUACCCAUCAGGAAAGACAUCACUCACAGAAGAAGCACCGGCUAACUCCGUGCCAGCAGCCGCGGUAAUACGGAGGGUGCGAGCGUUAAUCGGAAUUACUGGGCGUAAAGCGCGCGUAGGUGGCUUGAUAAGCCGGUUGUGAAAGCCCCGGGCUCAACCUGGGAACGGCAUCCGGAACUGUCAAGCUAGAGUGCAGGAGAGGAAGGUAGAAUUCCCGGUGUAGCGGUGAAAUGCGUAGAGAUCGGGAGGAAUACCAGUGGCGAAGGCGGCCUUCUGGACUGACACUGACACUGAGGUGCGAAAGCGUGGGUAGCAAACAGGAUUAGAUACCCUAGUAGUA